CCUUCCUGGCAUUCAUACUUUUUACUAUAAAAAAGAAAAGAAAGUCUGAGAAACAGCAUUUGGCCAAGAAGCAAGCUGAAAUUGUGGAGGGUAUUGAUAAUCCUUGUGCAACUGACAAAAAUGGAAGUCUGAAUAGCUUAGAGAAACUAGAGCACACGAAAAAUGUGAAAACGGAAAUGAUAGCGUUUAGCAACCUGGAGGACACC